AGAGUUUGAUUCUGGCUCAGAUUGAACGCUGGCGGAAUGCUUUACACAUGCAAGUCGAACGGCAGCACGGGUGCUUGCACCUGGUGGCGAGUGGCGAACGGGUGAGUAAUGCGUCGGAACGUACCGAGUAAUGGGGGAUAACGCGGCGAAAGUCGCGCUAAUACCGCAUACGCCCUGAGGGGGAAAGUGGGGGAUCGCAAGACCUCACGUUAUUCGAGCGGCCGACGUCUGAUUAGCUAGUUGGUGGGGUAAAGGCCUACCAAGGCGACGAUCAGUAGCGGGUCUGAGAGGAUGAUCCGUCACACUGGGACUGAGACACGGCCCAGACUCCUACGGGAGGCAGCAGUGGGGAAUUUUGGACAAUGGGGGCAACCCUGAUCCAGCCAUUCCGCGUGAGUGAAGAAGGCCUUCGGGUUGUAAAGCUCUUUCAGCUGGAACGAAACGGUACGCUCUAACAUAGCGUGCUAAUGACGGUACCGGCAGAAGAAGCACCGGCUAACUACGUGCCAGCAGCCGCGGUAAUACGUAGGGUGCGAGCGUUAAUCGGAAUUACUGGGCGUAAAGCGUGCGCAGGCGGAUUGUUAAGCAAGAUGUGAAAUCCCCGGGCUUAACCUGGGAAUGGCAUUUUGAACUGGCAGUCUAGAGUGCGUCAGAGGGGGGUGGAAUUCCACGUGUAGCAGUGAAAUGCGUAGAGAUGUGGAGGAACACCAAUGGCGAAGGCAGCCCCCUGGGAUGACACUGACGCUCAUGUACGAAAGCGUGGGUAGCAAACAGGAUUAGAUACCCUGGUAGUCCACGCCCUAAACGAUGUCAACUGGUUGUUGGGGGAGUGAAAUCCCUUAGUAACGAAGCUAACGCGUGAAGUUGACCGCCUGGGGAGUACGGUCGCAAGAUUAAAACUCAAA
rnacentral:rRNA from 1 species